AUGUGGAUCACAUUCACUUUAUGCUUGAAAGGAAUAACUCCGUUGGGCACAUUGACAUCGCCUCUGCUAGCCUACAUAUCACAUUCAGAUGGGGACGGAUUGCAAUGCAGAGAAAUAUGGGAGUGGAGACCGGAUAAUUCAGUUUUUGCAGCAGAUCAUGUCCUGGGAGGAGAUGAUGGGUGCUCACCUUUCUCCUGUGGGCAUCUCCAAGACAUACGACCCCCUUUCCGUCGGCGAGGUGAUCCUCUUGAGUGCGGUGUUGAAGCAUACGAGCUGGGUUGUACCAGUAGCAAGGCUACAAUUCACAUCAACACAGGAACAUACUAUGUGACUGCCAUCAACUACACCGGUUCCUACUUCUGGGCCAUGGAUCCCAACUUCAAUACCAGUAGCAGCUGCCCUCUUCCACCGUGGAAUCAUGUUCCUUACGUUGGACACUACGGAAUUGAUUCAAUUUCACCACCUGGCUUUCGGUAUUUGGUCCCUCAAAGCUAUGAAGCAGCUUGUUUUGCUAAUUGUUCGCAAGCAGUAACGAAUAAUAGUGCAUACAAGCCCGUUGCUUGCCUGAGUGCCAACAAUUCACAUGUUUAUGUCUGGGUGUCUAAUUACACGUACUGUGCGGUUGAAGAUCUUGAAUCUUAUUGUGGAUACCUGGCAGAGAUUCCAUUUGGUAACGAGUAUUCUCCUGAUUGGCGACAGCUGCAGAAUGCAAGUUAUGCAGAUAUCACACAAUUCACAAGUAAGGGGUUUACUGUCCGAUUUCCUGUGGACACCAUUUACAGGAGGCCUUCUACUUCUGUGAUGUUAAGAAAGAACAUCAAUUUAUGCCUCAACAAUUCAAUCAGCUACUUCAAGGAGCAAAUAUUUGGCACAAGCAUUGUUAAUUGGACUCAUGCUAUUUUCUGGAGUGAGGUGCACUUCUUAGAAUGCGUGACUCAGAGCUCUAACAAUCACUACUACACAACAAAGUUGGUUUUGAUUGUUGCAACCAUAGUAUCUGCUAUUGCUAUCCCAAAGUUCUUUUUUGUAAUGUGCAGGUUCUUGUUGGCACCCCUGGCUGUAUGGAUAUUCCUAGCCUACAAGUACAUGAAAACAAGGCUCAUAAUUGAUGCAGUUGAGAAUUUCCUCAGGAUUCAACAAAUGAUUGGCCCGGCGAGGUACUCCUACACAGAUAUAGUUGCAGUCACAAGCCAUUUCAGAGAUAAAUUGGGCCAAGGGUGCUACGGCUCUGUGUACAAGGGCGUGCUACUCCCAGGCGGCGUCCAUGUCGCCGUCAAGAUGCUAGAGGGCAAUUCCAACUGCAAUGGAGAAGAUUUCAUCAGCGAGGUCUCCACCAUCGGCAGGAUCCACCACGUCAACGUGGUGCGUUUAGUGGGGUUCUGCUCAGAGGAAAUGCGAAGGGCCUUAGUCUACGAGUACAUGCCCAAUGGUUCUCUGGACAAGUACAUCUUCUCUACCGAGAAGAGCUUCUCAUGGGACAAGCUCAACGAGAUCGCUUUGGGCAUUGCCAGGGGGAUCAACUACUUACAUCAGGGGUGCGACAUGCAGAUUCUGCACUUUGACAUCAAGCCGCACAACAUCCUUCUUGACAGCAAUUUCAUCCCAAAGGUCGCCGAUUUUGGGCUCGCCAAGCUGUACCCUAAGGGAGACAGUUUCGUGCCACUGAGUGCCAUGCGGGGAACCAUAGGCUACAUAGCCCCCGAGAUGAUAUCCCGGAGCUUCGGCGUCAUAUCUAGCAAGUCCGACGUGUACAGCUUCGGGAUGUUGCUGCUGGAGAUGGCCGGCGGGAGAAGGAACGCUGAUCCAAAGAUGGGGUCCUCAAGCCAGGCGUACUACCCAUCAUGGGUGUAUGACCAGCUGACUCAAGAAGAAGCGGGCGAGAUAUCUCCGGUUGCUGCCAACAUGCACGAGCUGGAGAAGAAGCUGUGCGUUGUCGCAUUAUGGUGUAUUCAGAUGAGGUCUCGUGAUCGGCCGACGAUGAGCGAGGUCAUUCAGAUCCUGGAGGCUGGAGCUGAUGGCCUACAGAUGCCUUCGAGGCCGUUUUUCUGCGACGAAGGGCACAUCCACGUAGAGGACUCUUACCAUUUCACUUCGGAGCUGACAGCGGUCUCGGAGGAGGAAUUGACCGUGGUAUCGGAGGAAGACGACGGUGAGAUAUACAGUGUGUGA
rnacentral:rRNA from 1 species